CAAGGCUAAAUCUACAUUAUAGGUGCAGUUCAGCAGGACAAUAACCUAGAACAAGGCUACAUCUACAUUAUAGGUGCAGUUCAGCAGGACAAUAACCUAGAACAAGGCUACAUCUACAUUAUAGGUGCAGUUCAGCAGGACAAUAACCUAGAACAAGGCUACAUCUACAUUAUAGGUGCAGUUCAUAUGCACAAGUACAGUGAAAUACCUUUCUUGACAACUCAAAACCCAACAAUGCAAUAAUCAAUAGUGUACUACUACAACAACAAAAAACACGAGAAAUAAAUAUAUGAAAUACACAAUAAAGUAAGUAAGCGAUGCAUACUAUAUUCAGGAAACAUUUAAAAAGUCAGAUGCAAUACCAGUUAGAUAUGUAUAGGGGACAGGGAUACUGGAAUGUAUAGGGGACAGGGAUACUGGAAUGUAUAGGGGACAGGGAUACUGGAAUGUAUAGGGGACAGGGAUACUGGAGUGUAUAGGGGACAGGGAUACUGGAGUGUAUAGGGGACAGGGAUACUGGAAUGUAUAGGGGACAGGGAUACUGGAGUGUAUAGGGGACAGGGAUACUGGAGUGAUGGAGGUAGAUAUGUAUAGGGGACAGGGAUACUGGAAUGUAUAGGGGACAGGGAUACUGGAGUGUAUAGGGGACAGGGAUACUGGAGUGUAUAGGGGACAGGGAUACUGGAGUGUAUAGGGGACAGGGAUACUGGAGUGAUGGAGGUAGGUAUGUAUAGGGGGAAGGGGACAGGGAUACUGUAGUGAUGGAGGUAGAUAUGUAUAGGGGACAGGGAUACUGGAGUGAUGGAGGUAGAUAUGUAUAGGGGACAGGGAUACUGGAGUGAUGGAGGUAGAUAUGUAUAGGGGACAGGGAUACUGGAGUGAUGGAGGUAGAUAUGUAUAGGGGACAGGGAUACUGUAGUGAUGGAGGUAGAUAUGUAUAGGGGACAGGGAUACUGUAGUGAUGGAGGUAGAUAUGUAUAGGGGACAGGGAUACUGUAGUGAUGGAGGUAGAUAUGUAUAGGGGACAGGGAUACUGGAGUGAUGGAGGUAGAUAUGUAUAGGGGACAGGGAUACUGGAGUGAUGGAGGUAGAUAUGUAUAGGGGACAGGGAUACUGGAGUGAUGGAGGUAGAUAUGUAUAGGGGACAGGGAUACUGGAGUGAUGGAGGUAGAUAUGUAUAGGGGACAGGGAUACUGGAGUGAUGGAGGUAGAUAUGUAUAGGGGACAGGGAUACUGGAGUGAUGGAGGUAGAUAUGUAUAGGGGACAGGGAUACUGGAGCGAUGGAGGUAGAUAUGUAUAGGGGACAGG